ensembl:snRNA U6 U6 spliceosomal RNA
GUGUUUGCUUUGGUAGCACAUAUACUAAAAUUAGAAUGAUCAGAGAAGAUUAACAUGGCCCUUGUGCAAGAAUGACAUGCAAAUUCAUGAAGUGUUCCAUGGUCAU